rnacentral:rRNA from 1 species
UGGGGAAGGAUCAUUAUCGAUGGCCGCGCCGUGAGCGCCCUGGUGCAGGANCGGCCGGCCACUGACCACACCCUUACUU